rnacentral:rRNA from 1 species
CAGUAGCCGCGGUAAUACGAAGGGGGCUAGCGUUGUUCGGAUUUACUGGGCGUAAAGCGCACGUAGGCGGAUCCUUAAGUCAGAGGUGAAAUCCCAAGGCUCAACCUUGGAACUGCCUUUGAUACUGGGGAUCUCGAGUUCGGGAGAGGUGAGUGGAACUGCGAGUGUAGAGGUGAAAUUCGUAGAUAUUCGCAAGAACACCAGUGGCGAAGGCGGCUCACUGGCCCGAUACUGACGCUGAGGUGCGAAAGCGUGGGGAGCAAACAGGAUUAGAUACCCGUGUAGUCCCUGUCUCUUAUAC